GAAAAAGAAAGAGAGAGAGAAACCGAGAGAAAGAGUUUUGUAAGCCUUAGAAAACAUAGGUUUCAUUCACAGUCACAUCCUCAACUUCAAGCAGAAGCUGAGGUUUGAGUUUUAACGUUUGAGCUGAGGUUUGGGGUUUGAGGCAGGACUCCAGAAAGCGGCUGCAAGCAUCCCUAUUAUGGCUGGGCUAAGGGUCUGCUCACGCAGCCACGUAAGAUGUGCCUGCUUCCCCAUCACCUUCCGCCAUGACUGAAAGUUUCCCAAGGCCUCCCCAGAAGCCAAGUAGCCAAGUAGAUGCUGCCAUGCUUCCUGUACAGCCUGCAGAACCGUGAGCUAAUCUUCUUUUCUUUAUUAAUUACCCAGUUUCAGGGUAUUUCUUUAUAGCAAUGCAAGAGUGGACUAAUACACUUAGUGUAAUGUUUUUUAGAUUCAUCCACAUUGCAGCAUGUGCAGCAUGCUGCUCUAAAAUAUGUAACAUUUUAGUUUCAUCCACACUGAAGCAUUGUUUUUUCAUGGCUGAAUAAUAUUCCAUUAAAUGGAUCUACCACAUUUUGUUUAUGCAUUCAUUAAUUCAUGGACAUUUGCGUUGUUUCUACUUUUUAUCUACUAUGAAUAGUGUUGCUAGGAACAUUUGUGUACAAAAAUUUUUGUUUGACUAUCUGUUUUCAGUUCUUUUUGGUAUAUAUCUGGGAGUAAAAUUGCUGUAUCAUAUGCCAAUUUUAUGUUUAACUUAUUGCAGAACAGCCAAACUCUUUUCUAUAGCGCUGAACCAUUUUACAUUCCAUUAAUAAUGUAUCAGGGCUCCAGUUUUUCACAUGCUCACCAACUUUUAUUACUUUC
rnacentral:lncRNA from 10 species